CCCCUCUCAGGAUCACACCUGGAGAGUUUUCCAUUACACUACCAGUCUUGGCUAUAGGAAGGAGAGUCAAGCAGAUGCAUACCCAUUCCGUUCCUAGUUUGGCCAGUGGCUAGUGAAUGGAAAUCAAUCUGCUACAAGU